GAAUAAUGUGUUUUAUGGUUGUCAGCUACCAUCUUUAAUUGACACACAAGUGGAGAAGAUAAAUAGUAAUUUGGAACCAAAACUCAGGACGUCCCAGGAGAGGCUAGAUUAGGAAUUCUUUGAUUUGGGAUCACGAAAAUGAAGUAUCCAUAUUUUAACAGAAUGAUUAGUGGCAGAGGAAUCAUCUAAGAAAACUGAGAAGACUCUGCCAGAGUGAUGGGAAGAAAACUAGAUGAGAAAGCACCAUUCUGGAAGACAUGCUCCCAUGAACCAUGGAGAGAAGAGGAGAGGGAAGAAGUUAUUUGUGAUGUCAUUUGCCUGUGUCAUGGCCUGCCUUCCCUAGAUAUUGUCCUAAUGUGAGCAUCACACCUAAGGUACUGAAGUAGAGUUCUGGCUGUUCCUUACGGACAUCUCUGGUGAGAUGAGAUCUUGCUAUGUUGUCCCAGGGUGGUCUCAAACUCCUGGCCUCAAGCAAUCCUCCUGCCUUGGCCUCCCAAAGUGCUGGGAUUACAGGUAGUUUUAAUUCUUUUUUUUGUUAUACUGGUUGAGCUAAGAAUAUCCCCCCAUAUACUUUGUGUGCUACUGUAGAAACUAAGUUACAUUGUAAAAUAUUUU
rnacentral:lncRNA from 1 species